rnacentral:rRNA from 1 species
UACGGAGGUCCCAAGCGUUGUUCGGAUUCACUGGGCGUAAAGGGUGCGUAGGUGGCGGGGUAAGUUUGAUGUGAAACCUCUGAGCUUAACUCAGAAACUGCAUUGAAUACUAUUCUGCUUGAGGUUUGGAGGGGGGACUGGAAUUCUCGGUGUAGCAGUGAAAUGCGUAGAUAUCGAGAGGAACACCAGUGGCGAAGGCGAGUCCCUGGACAACACCUGACACUGAGGCACGAAAGCUAGGGGAGCAAACAGG